rnacentral:rRNA from 1 species
GAUGAACGCUGGCGGCGUGCUUAACACAUGCAAGUCGAACGAUGAAGCCCAGCUUGCUGGGUGGAUUAGUGGCGAACGGGUGAGUAACACGUGAGUAACCUGCCCCUGACUCUGGGAUAAGCGCUGGAAACGGCGUCUAAUACUGGAUACGAGCUGCGAAGGCAUCUUCAGCAGCUGGAAAGAACUUCGGUCAGGGAUGAGCUCGCGGCCUAUCAGCUUGUUGGUGAGGUAACGGCUCACCAAGGCGUCGACGGGUAGCCGGCCUGAGAGGGUGACCGGCCACACUGGGACUGAGACACGGCCCAGACUCCUACGGGAGGCAGCAGUGGGGAAUAUUGCACAAUGGGCGAAAGCCUGAUGCAGCAACGCCGCGUGAGGGACGACGGCCUUCGGGUUGUAAACCUCUUUUAGCAGGGAAGAAGCGAAAGUGACGGUACCUGCAGAAAAAGCGCCGGCUAACUACGUG